CUCCUGGGUUCAUCAUUCUCCUGCCUCAGCCUCCUAAGUAGUUGGGACUACAAGUGCCCGCCACCACGCCCGGCUAAUUUUUUUGUAUUUUUAGGAGAGACGGGGUUUCACCGUGUUAGCCAGGAUGGUCUCUAUCUCUUGACCUCGUGAUCCGCCCACCUCCGCCUCCCAAAGCGCUGGGAUUACAGGCGUGAGCCACCGCGCCUGGCCCAGAAAAUCUUUCUAAGGCAUCAAUGAAAGUUUUCAAUGUUAAUGAAAAGAAACUUUGUCCAGGAGUUGCAGUGUCCUUUGAGUUUCAGAAAAUCCAAGAAAAAAAAAAGAGGGCACCAAAGGAUAGUUGUACAGGAGCAAGAGUAAAUCAGCCCCAGGGAGCACUGUCUCUGUGAGAUGCCAGCCUUGAGCUGAAGUAGAGAAGAGUUUCAAGUUGCUGAACACCCCCAUGCAGCAGUAAAAAGAUAUAAGAUAUCGACACGCUCAGCUGCAUCUUGUUAAAAGCUUCCUGCGGGUUGGCAGAAUGAAAUCUUUAUUUAAAACACAUAAACUAUUGUCAAGGGAAAGAUGGAAAAGAGAAUACAGUAAAAGGGCCAAAUGCUUUGCUUAACCCACCAGAAGCAGUAGAA